UACAGAGGGUGCAAGCGUUAAUCGGAAUUACUGGGCGUAAAGCGCGCGUAGGUCGUUUGGUAAGUCGGAUGUGAAAUCCCCGGGCUUAACCUGGGAAUUGCAUUCGAUACUGCCUGACUCGAGUGUGGGAGAGGGAAGCGGAAUUUCCGGUGUAGCGGUGAAAUGCGUAGAUAUCGGAAGGAACACCAGUGGCGAAGGCGGCUUCCUGGCCCAACACUGACACUGAGGCGCGAAAGCGUGGGUAGCGAACAGG
rnacentral:rRNA from 1 species